AGCUGUCCUCUUUGGGCCUUUUGUUCACUUGUUCUGCAAGUGCUGUUGUAAGAUGCGAGCUGAAGGAGAGAAACAGAAGAUGUCAUCUAGCUUUUGUAAAAAGACGACACUUCAUCUCCAGCAUCCCUGGUGAGAGGCAGACCUGGUCGGCUUUAAGGAUCAUCCUCUCCCGUAGACACCAUGAGACGCAUUGCUACUGGUAGGUGGUCUGUCAGGCCUGCCAACUGGGUAAUAAAGCUGAACUCUUCCACUUCCUGCAGAAGGAGGACAAAAGUAAGGGCUUUAGUCCCAAACCCCCCAGAGCUGGAGGGGGAAAGCCCCAUCCCUCUGUUGUUGGUUGUGUGGUGCUGACCCAGCUGCAGCGAGCCAAGGAGCACCGAGAGCAGUGACUGGAAGGGAGCCAUAAAGCAAAAUUCCCUCAUCCCAAACCUCGAGGGACCAUCUCUCAUCCUGGCCAGAAGCACCUGAGCUAAGGAAGACUUUUCUCACUGCUGUUGAAGCCUUUGGCCCAGAGUUGUGAGCCCCUGUCCAGCAGAGGAGAUUGAAAAAAAUUGCAUUUAAAUUUUUUCUUAGCUAUGCUGGAAUGUGCUCUCCUAGGCCUGCCUCUGGUCAGGGUUCAGAGGUAAAAAUGGCUUUAUUCCAGUGCUUAAUUUAAAGAUGACAGUCAUCUCUGUGAGAUGGGAUUAUUUGUGUGCAUUUCCUGAAGCCUUUCUGAGCAGAAGCUUGUGUGGCUUCCAGGACUGUGGCAUCUAGCUAAUUAACUGUUUGAUAAUUAUAAAUUACUUUCUCAUUAUUUGUACCAAGUCUGUUGUUCUAGCCCAAUGUUUUACGUACUGUGCUUAACACAAAAGAGAUGCUUAAGAAGGAGUUGUUCUGCUGCUUUUAUGGCCUAUUUAUUUUAGUAAUGUGGAAUACUUAAUUUUAUUUAUAAACCAGAGAAGAGUGCUGAUGAAGAAAUAAUUCCCUGGAUAGCUGAUAUUGCCAAUUUAAAUGUCUGUAAAGCUUUAUCAAGGUUUAUUAUUGAAAAAAUUGAGAAUGGAUCAAUUCUAGGAGGUACCCUGCUUUGCUGUGUAUAAGAACAAUAUUUGUUAGCUAGAUAGUGCCCCUCAGCCACUGUGCUAUUUAACUUUUACAUGUCUUUAAAGCCCAGAUUCCAUUAAUUGCUUUAAAUUUCCCUGAAGUUCUUUGCACAUUCCCUGUUUGCCUGUCCUUUGCAGAGGCAGCAGCACAGGCUCCCUUGGCCUCCCUUGGACACCACGGCUUCUCCAACACAGGAGCACCUCCAGAGGAUGCACUCCUGCGGAGAGAGCCUGGGGAAAUUACAGCCCCACAGGGGUUAUUUCAUCAGUGCACACCCAGAGGUGGCAGAGGUAGUAUUCUUCAUUUGUUAUUGAUUAUUGGAUGGCUCCCUAUUUAGUCAUGUAUUUGUCAGUGGAACGUGGUUGCUGAACACAAGUAAUCCUUCAGGGAAUAAAACAUAAUAGCCCAACAGGAAUUUUGUGACACAUUGGCUGAAAAGGCCACUUUAAAACACAGGGUUUGUUUGGGUUUUGUUUCUUUUGUUGGUUUGGUUUUGGUUUGGUUUUGGUUUUCUUAGGGGAUGAAGGGGGUUAGGUUUUGUUUUGGUGUUUUGGGUUUUUUGCUCUUGAAAGCAUAAAAUGUAAUGUUACACCCACAUACAGAUUUGCAUUAACAAAUUUGAUUGUAGGGCCAAAUUACCUUAUUUUUGCUUUCCAGAAAUCCCUUUCACAUGUAUUAAAGUUAUGUUUUUAACAUGUGAAUAGAAAUGUCUGGAAAUUUUGUAAUCUCUCAAAUGUGCAAAGCAGGAUUCACUGUAAAAAAAUUUUAUUUUGGAUGUAAACUAAAGCCAAACCUGAUGUCUAGAAUUCAAUUUCUUUGUUCAAAACUGAAA